GGAGGGAGAAAAAGGAGAGUCGAAAAGUACAAGUUUCUACCGAAGACAAACGGAAGAUGAAAGCAUUUAAAUAUAAUAAUAACCACUACAGCCAGUGCAGAGUGCCUGACAAGCCCAGUUCAAAGUUGAGCCAGACAGUAAAGCUACCGGCCACGAGCCCGACACUAAACCCGACGUAUUAACCAGAGGUCUCUUUACCACGGUUCAGAGCGGCGGACCUGGCUGAGGACCUGAUGGCGUUGACCUUUUCUUGUCCAUCUUCCAUCAGUAAUUUUGCACUCCAAUAUCAACACCCAACCCCACAACAUUAACUAAUAGACUAAUGGACCUACACCUUGUAUAUGUUUUUUUUUUCUCCUUGGAUUUCACACAACCCAGGAAAAAUAAUUGACUAAGACUUCAGCACAGCAGCAGCAACAAGCAGGUCACACCGAGGGCCCUCGCGCUCACUUUCUGCGUAUAUGUGUGUGAAAGAAUUUAGAAAACACAUUGGUGCCUGUAUCAUAAUGUCUUCAGUUUUUGUGUUCAUUAUAGGGCUGUCAACGUUUAUGCGUUAACACCGUCAUCAUGAUUACCGCGAUUAAAAUUUUUAACCCAAUCAACCCAUUUGGAGCGCAGAAUGGACAAACUUUGGACAAACGGCCUGAAAUGUGUUGACAGAGACAUUUCAGGGACUUUGAGUCAUUCUGCUCCAGUUGGAUUCAUUACGUUAACAUUUUUAAUCGCGUUAAUCGUGAUGAUGGCAUUAACGUUGACAGCCUUAGUUUAUUGGUUUGUUUUUAUUUUGUUUUAUUUUGCGAGCUGGUUAUUAGAUGCUGCUCCAGCCAGCCAGAGAAUUCCCCGCCAGCCCGCCCCUCUCCUCACUGUGUGGCAAGCAGCAGGCGCAAACGGAGGGCACCUUUACUCCCCGCAAAUGGGCAAUAGAAAACUGAUCCAUGCCCAUCCAAUCCCCAAAAUGUGCUGGCAUGAUGUCGGAGCAGCAUGGGUACAAGCAACCUUUUUUUUUGCCGAUGCCAUGAUGGCGCCCCCACCACGAUGACGCCCCGGGCAACUGCCCAUGUCGCCCAUAUCAAAAACCGCUACUGGCCACAUGUCUGGCCAGAAAGACAACACCAAUUUGUUUAUUUAUUUUUCAAUGAAAAGCUUCAGUUAAGAGUGAAGAAAAAAAUU